GACGAACGCUGGCGGCGUGCUUAACACAUGCAAGUCGAACGGAAAGGCCCUGCUUUUGUGGGGUGCUCGAGUGGCGAACGGGUGAGUAACACGUGAGUAACCUGCCCUUGACUUUGGGAUAACUUCAGGAAACUGGGGCUAAUACCGGAUAGGAGCUCCUGCUGCAUGGUGGGGGUUGGAAAGUUUCGGCGGUUGGGGAUGGACUCGCGGCUUAUCAGCUUGUUGGUGGGGUAGUGGCUUACCAAGGCUUUGACGGGUAGCCGGCCUGAGAGGGGGACCGGCCACAUUGGGACUGAGAUACGGCCCAGACUCCUACGGGAGGCAGCAGUGGGGAAUAUGGCACAAUGGGCGGAAGCCUGAUGCAGCAACGCCGCGUGCGGGAUGACGGCCUUCGGGGUGUAAACCGCUGUCGCCUGUGACGAAGCGGGAGUGACGGUAAUGGGUAAAGAAGCACCGGCUAACUACGUG
rnacentral:rRNA from 1 species